UGGCUGCUCUGAAAAGCCAUUUUUGCAUUGUUCCCGUGUCCGGCUCCCCGUUCGCCGCAACCACCUCCGUCGCGCGCCUCCUCCGCCACCGCGGACUCAGGCAGCUUUCUCGCCAGAGUCCUCGAACUCUUGCUUUCUUUUUAAUCCGCUGCAUCGGAUCACCGGCGUGCCCCAUCAUGUCAGACGCGGCCGUGGACACCAGCUCCGAGAUCACCACCAAGGAUUUAAAGGAGAAGAAGGAAGUUGUGGAGGAGGCCGAGAAUGGAAGAGACGCGCCUGCUAAUGGGAACGCUGAGAAUGAGGAAAAUGGAGAGCAGGAGGCCGACAACGAGGUAGAUGAAGAAGAGGAAGAGGGGGGGGGAGGAAGAGGAGGAGGAGGAGGAAGGCGAUGGUGAGGAAGAGGACGGAGACGAAGACGAGGAGGCCGAGGCAGCUACGGGCAAACGGGCAGCUGAAGACGAUGAGGAUGACGAUGUCGACACCAAGAAGCAGAAGACCGAUGAGGAUGACUAGACAGCAAAAAAGGAAAAGUUAAACCUAACAAAAAAAAAGGCCACCGUGACCAUGUUCAUUAUAAUCUCAAAGGAGAAAAAAACCUUGUAAAAAAAAAACAAAAACAACAACAAAAAAACAAUCUUAUUCCGAGCAUUCCAGUAACUUUUUUUGUGUAUGUACUUAGCUGUACUAUAAGUAGUUGGUUUGUAUGAGAUGGUUAAAAAGGCCAAAGAUAAAAGGUUUCUUUUUUUCCUUUUUUGUCUAUGAAGUUGCUGUUUAUUUUUUUUGGCCUGUUUGAUGUAUGUGUGAAACAAUGUUGUCCAACAAUAAACCGGAAUUUUAUUUUGCUGAGUUGUUCUAACA